UGGGAUCCCCAAUUUGUUUUCUUUGUUCUUGCUUUUCCCGUGAGUACCACCCUGUGUCUCUAGUAUAUCGAACUGCUAAUUUGCUGUAACUUGAGAGUUGUACCAUUGGUAGUUGUUGUGGAGUGGUUUGGACAUGUUGUUGAUCUGAAGCAUAACCUGAUCCUCCCUGCAAAAAAAAGGAGAAGCAUAAGUUGAUCCCUUCUCACUUAAUCAGAACCUUUUUGUGUAAGAAGAGCGUGUAGUAUUACAUAGGUUACUAGUUGGAUCCUAUACUACUGACAACCAAAGCAAUCAUACCUUGCUUUAUUUUCUAAUUCUUUGGCCCGGUCGAUGGCUAGAUUGACAUGGUACUUUAGUUCCUGAAUUCUAAGCAUGCAAGUUUCUGAAUUCUAGGUCAGCAUCAGCAUCAUGAGUUAAUCAGGUAUAUGUGUAACCAGCUAUACUGAUGAUAUUGCUAUAAUAAAUAAUAAUUCUGGAGUACCACCUCUUUUUGUAGCUAGCAUGUAGGCUAUAAGCUCUCGUUGAUGCUAUAGAUGGCCGGGUCGGUUUCAAUUUUUUGGGGAGAAAAUUAGAUUCUAACCUAGUUUGUAGCAGGUUUGAUAGGUAUAUAACUCACUACAUAAAAGUCACUUGCAUAGUCAAAGGACUGAAGUGAAAUAUUCUCAUUGGAAAAAUUUGCAACUAUAAAUUAUCAAAUUUCAAAUGCAUAAUGAGAUUAUUCUAAGCUUAACACAGCACGCUCAGCAUUUCAUAAAUAUUGUUGGAUUAUCAAGUAUGCAGUAGGGGAUAAAUUUUUAACAGGUUGCCUAUAAUGCCAACUUUUUCCAGGUAAAUAACAUGUUCCUUUCCGUUCUUUUUUUCCUUCAGAUAGUAAUACAUUUUAAUAUGUGGCCUCAAAAUCUGGAAGACGAAAUUCAUUCAUUUAUAUAAGUUUCUUUGCUGUGUUCCCUCCCUGUCAUUUGAAUGCGCCAUUCGCUGAGCAAUUUACAGUAGCUUGCACUUGUGGUUAAACAUUCAGGUCAAAAAUAUACCUGCUGCAUGGCCUAUGCCUUCAAUUUAGUGUACUAGCUGAAGCACAACAAUGCAUGGUCUAAGGCGAUCUCGUGCAGUAUGAUAAUGUGAUGAAUCAUUCAUUCAUAUAUGUGUUCAGAUGCUUCUUUCCAAACAAAUGAAAUGCGUUCAGAUGCAUGUCUUUGGUUCUUGUUUUUCAGUUUUUUUCUUGGGACAGAGAAGUAGUAUGUAUUGCACGUAUCUCCAGAUGAGAUAGAAGAUAGAUAUAUUUAUGUGUCAGAUACUACUGUCUGACUAUUUGUGGUAAUAAGUAUUGGUGUUAAGUAGAAUCUCCAUUUGUGUUACCAUCACAGGACCAUUAACAGUCAGAUGUGAGCCAUAUAUUUGAUAUGAAGCAAGUUGUCUGAGGAUGUUCACUACCCACCUAAUUUGAGCUCUCUAUUUCCAUAUGCAGGUAAAUCCUAGAAUGUUGGGAUAUAUUGACAUGUGCACGUAGACAUUCCCUUGGCAUUCAUGAUAUUUAUAGAUGUAUUCACCCUUUAGAUAUGGCAUCAUUAUUUUCUCUUACUCAUUUCCUUCACUUCAAAAUAUCCAGGCCUUGAUUUCCCUAGUUACCUUGCUGCUGUUUCUGUUGGGUAUAUGAUUCCACAUGUGCCAUUUAAUAUGAACUGUGGACCUAAUGGGUAUGCUGUUGUUGGUGGUGGUGCUGGCAGGUACCAAAACAACAAGGUUUGUGUCUGGUGUCUCGAUCACUAUCAGGCCAAGGGUGGUUGAUACAUGUCUUCACACUUUUCAUAGCAACGUGCAGUGGAAGAAGCAACCUAUGAAAUGAAAUAGUUUGCAUAAGAAACAGGCGAUGUACUCAACCAUCUACUGUGCAUGGAUGUGAUGACUUCGGAGUGUUCAGCAGCAUUUGGCUGUUUGCGGUAUUUUGGACCAGCUAACUUGUGAUCAUGAAUCUUAUGUCUGUUCUGGACCAUUUGGUGCUUCCAAGUGUUUUCGGGCAUAUAUCUUGUGCUCAUGGGUGUGACUUUAUUCUGGACCAUUUAGUGUUUGAACUCCUUUAGAACAACAAAUAGUGGUCCUUUUAUGUGGCUUCUGUUUUCUGGAUGGUGGUCCAAAUGGCCAAACUUUGCUUUGUCAAGACUGUCCUGUUUUUGAACUUAUGAUCAAUAUAUGCAUGUUUGUGAACA